rnacentral:lncRNA from 1 species
AUGACCCUGAAUAGGAAGGUUUGGAGGAAAAAUACUAGGAUAGAGGGAUAAGGUGGUUGGAUGAAUCGUAGUCCGUAGUUAGGAGGGUUUUGGUGUCUUUUGUUUGGUAUUGUACAUUACUUUUGUGGAUGUUGUAUCUAUGUUAGUUUUAUCAUAUUUCAUGCUUUGAAUAUUUUUGUAUAUUGUCCUGUGUCUUGAGCCG